GGCGCGUGCUCCUACCAGUUGGCAUGGCACCCGCCUUUUUCGAGAGUGUGUCUGUUUGCAAUCUCUUUUCUCUAUCACACAACAGAAAACGAAAAGGAAAGAAAAAGAAAAAGACAAUCUUAAUUUCGAACGAGUGUUUGAGUGG
ensembl:ncRNA F38H4.12 ncRNA